GACCAUCAAGGCAGGGAGCAUGGCAGCAGGCAGGCAGGGAUGGCUCUGGAACAGUGGUUGAGAGCUUAUAUCUUGAGUCAUAAGCAUGAAGCAGAGAGAGCUAACUGGGAUUGAUGUGAUACAUCCCCCAAUGGCACACCUCCUAAUCCUUCCCAAACAAUUCCACCAACUGGGUACCACAUUUUCAAACAUAUGAACCUGUGGGGGCCAUUCUCUAAAUUUAGUCAUUUCAGUAUCCCAAUGAGGCAGGGACUAUUCUUUUGCUUUGCUUGUUUUGAUUUGGUUUUUCAAGACAGGGUUUCUCUGUGUGUUGUUCUGGCUGUCCUAGAACUCACUCUGGCCUCCAACUCACAGAGAUCCACCAGCCGCCACCACCAGAGUGCUGGGAUUAAAGGCGUGUGCACCAAUGCUGGCAAAAGGAGCUAUUCUUAUUGUUAUUUUUCAGCAGGAAGUGUAAACACUGCUGCCUCUUUAAAAGAUGGAAGAACCACGACCCGGAGAGAUGAAGAGAUUAUAAAAGAGAGGGCUGGCAGCCUCUGGAGACAAUGAGUCAGCUCAGGCAGCCUCCAUUUUAAUGACUGCCUUGGUUAUUCUGGUGAAGUCAUAGCUGCUCUGCUGUCUUGGAGACAAUGCGGGCUUGCUGCACUGUCUCUCUCAGGAGGAUGAUCUCAAAGCAGGGCAACUCCUGGAGAGGGACUCCUCUGGGAGCUGGGAGCCCCUACUGCCCUCAGCCACUGAAUGGAGGUCUCUGGAGUGCUAUGGAAGAAGUGUUACCUUCUCUGCUUCUGUCACUGGGACCUUCCCGGAAGCUCAGCCUACAGUCUUCUUUUCCAGCCUGCCCGGAGGAUGCUGCCAAUGUCUGAUUGUCUACACAAGUCCCCUUCUACGUAAAACAACCACAGCGGUUCUUGUUUCCCACAGUCAAGCCCAGAUUCACUUAUUCUAUUAUCAUAUUCAUGAAGAGUGAAUGACAUUGGUUUAUUUAAAGACAUUUUUUUGGUGCCAUCUCUGAUCACAAGUAUCCUUCCAGGUCUAGGGGGCAGCACAGUGUGUAGCGUUUAGUAUAGUAAUGCAUUGUGAAGAGUUCAGUGUGGUGAUAUGCUAUGCAGAAUUCCGUGUGGUAACCAAGAUGAAUAAGGAUAAGGAGCUGUAGGGGUCAGACUAAGAGAGGGGGACUCAUGGAAGGUUCCUCAGAAGAAUGUAGGCUUUAUCUUCAGGAGAGAGGAAGUUUGCCAGGCAGACAAUGUGGGUAUCAAAGUCAGAAGCUUUUUCUUGCUUGUAAAUGAUAAAAUAAUAAACUAA